AACGAACGCUGGCGGCAUGCCUAACACAUGCAAGUCGAGCGCCCGUAGCAAUACGGGAGCGGCGCACGGGUGAGUAACGCGUGGGAACCUGCCCAGAGGUUCGGGACAACCGCGGGAAACUGCGGCUGAUACCGGAUGAUACCUGAGGGUCAAAGAUUUAUCGCCUUUGGAGGGGCCCGCGUCAGAUUAGGUAGUUGGUGGGGUAACGGCCUACCAAGCCUGUGAUCUGUAACUGGUCUGAGAGGAUGACCAGUCACACUGGGACUGAGACACGGCCCAGACUCCUACGGGAGGCAGCAGUGGGGAGUAUUGGACAAUGGGGGCAACCCUGAUCCAGCAAUGCCGCGUGGGUGAUGAAGGCCUUCGGGUUGUAAAGCCCUUUUGAGAGGAUGAGGAGGACGGUACUCUCAGAAUAAGUCUCGGCUAACUACGUG
rnacentral:rRNA from 1 species